rnacentral:rRNA from 1 species
AAAAACAUGUNUUUUUGAUUAUAAUUUAAAGUCUAAUCUGCCCACUGAUUAAAAAUUAAAGGGCUGCAGUAUAUUGACUGUACAAAGGUAGCAUAAUCAUUAGUCUUUUAAUUGAAGACUUGUAUGAAGGAUUUGAUGAAAUAUAAACUGUCUCUUAUUUAAAAUUAAAAUUUAAUUUUUUAGUAAAAAAGCUAAAAUAUUUUUAAAAGACGAGAAGACCCUAUAGAGUUUUAUAAUUAAUUUAAUUAAUUAUUUAUGUAAAUUUUAGUUAAAAAUUAGAGUAAUUAUUUAGUUGGGGUGAUUAAAAAAUUUAAUAAACUUUUUUUAUAAAUUUACAUUAAUUAAUGAAUAAAUGAUCCAUAAUUUAUGAUUAUAAGAAUAAAUUACCUUAGGGAUAACAGCGUAAUUUUUUUUUUUAGUUCUAAUAAGAAAAAGAGUUUGCGACCUCGAUGUUGGAUUAAGAUAAAAAUUAAAUGCAGAAGUUUAAAAUUUUUGAUCUGUUCGAUCAUUAAAAUCUUACAUGAUCU